rnacentral:rRNA from 1 species
CCCUUAGAUGUUCUGGGCCGCACGCGCGCUACACUGAUGCAUUCAACGAGCCUAUCCUUGACCGACAGGUCCGGGUAAUCUUUGAAACUGCAUCGUGACGGGGAUAGAUUAUUGCAAUUAUUAAUCUUCAACGAGGAAUGCCUAGUAGGCGCAAGUCAUCAGCUUGCGUCGAUUACGUCCCUGCCCUUUGUACACACCGCCCGUCGCUCCUACCGAUUGGGUGUGCUGGUGAAAUGUUCGGAUCGGCCGUUUGUCGCGGUUUCCGCGUCAUGUGGCUGAGAAGUUCAUUAAACCCUCCCACCUAGAGGAAGGAGAAGUCGUAACA